GACAUGGGUAUAUGAACUUUCCAUGCUGAUUCUAAUGAAUUAGCAAAUGUGUCUUCCAAACUACUGUGAUACUCCAGGUGAUGUUAAUACUUUUAUUUUCAGUGCUGCUGAAUAUAACAAAACAAAAAAGCCAAACAGGGAGAAAAGAACGUGCAGAGCAAUUUCUUCACCACAGAUACACUUCUUGUGGGAAACCAAAGGGAUGACUCGUUUCUUUUGUGCCCCUGUAAAUGAGUAUGGAUUGUUUUCACUAACUAAGCACAUUGGUAACUCCCAUGGAGAAAAAAAAAAAGAGACAACCACAACUAACUUAAAUAUCAGAAGAUGAAUUCAGCAAACAUAAACCUUUCCAACAGUGUUUCUAUGUAAACAAAAAUGUCAAGAGUUAUAGUGUGAGAGUUCUUUGUACUCUCUGGGUGUAACAGACAAAAAGACAUUUCCUGACAAUAUGGAAAAAUGUAUUUAGAAUUCAAAAUUUUAAAAUGUUAGUUACAUUUAUCAAUGCAUUGUUUUGAGUGGGGUAAGUUUUGGGUAUUAAACAUCUUGUGCUGAAAAAACAACCAGAAAAGUUCAAACAUUUUUUCCUCUAAAUCCAGAGAGAGGUAAAAAUUCUGCAUUUUCUAAAAAGUAGUGUAUGAUAAAUAUAUUACACAAUAGCAUAUACUUUGGAACAUGAUAAUAAAUAUUCUUUCUUUAAACACAA